rnacentral:rRNA from 1 species
CGGAGAGGGCGCCUGAGAAACGGCUACCACAUCUAAGGAAGGCAGCAGGCGCGUAAAUUACCCAAUCCUGACGCAGGGAGGUAGUGACAAGAAAUAUCAAUAGAUUGAACACAGUUCUGUCUAAUUGGAAUGAGUACAUUCUAAACCCCUUAACGAGAACCAAUUGGAGGGCAAGUCUGGUGCCAGCAGCCGCGGUAAUUCCAGCUCCAAUAGCGUAUACUAAAGUUGUUGCAGUUAAAAAGCUCGUAGUUGGAUUUCUGUGCACCGGUUGUUGGUCUGCCUCUAUGAGGUGGGUCCUUCACCGUUGUACAUCCUGUUGGCAGACACGUGCUGGCAUUCAUUUGUCGGUGCGGGGAGACCACUCGUUUACUUUGAGAAAAUUAAAGUGUUCAAAGCAGGCAAUCGCUUGAAUACAUUAGCAUGGAAUAAUAGUAUAGGACUUUGAUCUUAUUUGUUGGUUUUAAAGAUCAAAGUAAUGAUUGAUAGGGACAGUUGGGGGCAUCAGUAUUCUGAAGCGAGAGGUGAAAUUCUUGGACCUUCGGAAGACUAACAACUGCGAAAGCAUUUGCCAAGGAUGUUCUCUUUAAUCAAGAACGAAAGUUAGGGGAUCGAAGACGAUCAGAUGCCGUCGUAGUCUUAACUAUAAACUAUGCCAGCUAGGGAUCGGUGAACGUUGUUUCGACUUCAUCAGCACCUUAUGAGAAAUCAAAGCAUUUGGGUUCCGGGGGGAGUAUGGUCGCAAGGCUGAAACUUAAAGGAAUUGACGGGAGGGCACCACCAGGAGUGGAGCCUGUGGCUUAAUUUGACUCAACACGGGAAAACUUACCAGGUCCGGACAUAGUAAGGAUUGACAGACUGAAGGUCUUUCUUGAUUCUAUGGGUGGUGGUGCAUGGCCGUUCUUAGUUGGUGGAGUGAUUUGUCUGGUUAAUUCCGUUAACGAACGAGACCCCAGCCUGCUAAAUAGGUGGUUCCAUUAUGAUGGGAUCUUCUUCUUAGAGGGACUAUUGAGUGUCUAACCAAUGGAAGUUUGGGGCAAUAACAGGUCUGUGAUGCCCUUAGAUGUUCUGGGCCGCACACGGGCUACACUGCGGGGUUCAACGAGUAUAUACCCUGCGUAGAAAUGCGUAGGAAACCUUAUGAAAACCCCGCGUGCUUGGGAUAGACUAUUGCAAUUAUUAGUCUUCAACGAGGAAUUCCUAGUAAACGCAAGUCAUCAGCUUGCAUUGAUUACGUCCCUGCCCUUUGUACACACCGCCCGUCGCUCCUACCGAUUGGAUGAAUCGAUGAGUCUUUUGGAGAAUUCCGGCUGACCACAUUGUGCGACGCAGGUUUCGAAGUUAUGCAAAUCACUUCAUCUAGAGGAAGGAGAAGUCGUAACGAGGUAACC